GUAGAUAUUUCAUCCGAUUGGUAGAUAGUCUCAGGAACCUAUUUGGAUGUCUGUCUGCAUUGAGUUAUGGUGAAAGGUGGUGUUGGUUAGAAAGUCAGUGAAAUUCUAAGUGUUAGAGUUUUCAGAGUAGAGUGUUAGUCUCAGAUGUUGUGAGUUGGAGUCCCCAAACUUCCAAUUCCUCUCUCCUCUUUUUCCUUCUCCUUUGCAUCCUCAAUCUUCCCUUUG